CUCUGGACAUAGUAGUGCAGUAUGACCUUAACAUUAUUUAAUUAAAAGUGCUGUCAAUUAGAUUUGUAUUAAAUUAUUUAUUAGGUUUACAUUAAGUUAUAUAUUAAGAAAUGUAUAUUUUAGUAUUAAAUCAUCCUUUCUAAAACUUGAUGUUUUUUCACUUGUCAGGUCUUAUUUUUAUGCCCUUCAAUAUGGUUUUCUUGUUAAAUUUAUUAAGUAUAAUUUUGAACAGGUAAUACAUUAAUAUGGUUCAAAGCUUACUAAAAAGUAUUUAAAAUAACAUAGCAGUGUUCCCCUUCCAUUGCUGUCCCUGAAUUGCCCAGUUCUGCUCCCUUCCAGAAAUAGGUUAUGUGUAGAAGAGCAAAUAUAUAUAUACCUAUUUGUUGCAAUUGUAAAUGGAAUGUUUUUCUUUUGAUACUGUUUCUAGUUGAUUAUUGCUAGAAUACAGAAAAAACAAUUGAUUUUUGUACAGUUAUCUUUUAUUCAGACACUUAUCCAUGCUAAUAGGCUUCUACUAUAGCCUUUUUUUUUUUUUUGGAGAUAGGCUGGAGUGCAGUGGCACGAUCUCAUCUCACAGCAACCUCCACCUCCUGAGCUCCAGUUAUAUUCCCACCUCAGCCUCCCAAGUAGCUGAGACCACAGGUGGAUGCCACCACAACCAGCUAAUUUUUUGCAGAGAUGGGGUUUCACCAUGUUGCUCAGGCUGGUCUUGAACUCCUGGGCUCAAGCAGUCCACCUGCCUUGACCCCUCAGUGUUCUGUUGAGAUUACAGGUGUGAGAUACUGCACCUGUUUUUUUUUUUUUUUUUUUUUUUAAGAGAUAGGGUGUCACUCUGCCACCCAGCCUGGAGUGCAGUGGCAUGAUCAUAGCUCACUGUAACCUCAUACUCCUAGACUCAAGGAAUCUUCCACCUCAGCCUCGAGUAGCUGGGUAUACAGGCAUGCACUACCAUGCCUGGCCUGAAAUAACUUUAUACUUAAAAGUUGCAAAAACAAUACAAAGAAUUCAUGUACAUCAUUCCCUCAGAUUUCCCAAAUGUUAACAUCUUUUUUUUGUUUGUUUUUGAGACAGUCUCACUCUGUCAUCCAGGCUGGAGUGCAGUGGUGUGAUGUAGGCUCACUACAACCUCUGCCUCCAGGUUCAAGGGAUUCCUGUGCCUCAGCCUCCCAAAUAGCUGGAAUUACCGGCAUGUGCCACUAUGUCCGGCUAAUUUUUGUACUUUAAUAAAGAGGGGUUUCACCAUGUUGUCCAGGCUGGUCUCGAACUCCAGACCUAGGUGAUCCACCUGCCUGGGCCUCCCAAAGUGUUGGAAUUACAGGUGUGAGCCACCAUGCCUUGCCAACACCUUACUUUUUGCUUUAUCAUUCCGUGUGUGUGUGUGUGUGUGUGUGUGUGUGUGUAGUUAUCUGAAAUACUGGCAAACCAAAUUAGAGGUUUACCUUUAACCUCUAAAUACUUACAUUUUCUGAAAACAAGGACGUUCUCUUCUGUAAUCAUAGUAUAAUUAUCAAAAUGAGAAAAUUUAACAACACUAGCACUCUCUAGACAUUUAAAUAACAUUUAAGUUCUUGAUGUAAUAAAUUAAUAAAUUUCCUGACACUGAGCCUUGCAUUGCUAAAAUAAACCUUAUGUAAUCAGAGUGUGCAAUUCAACUUGAUUUUAUUUGGGAUUUUUGCAUCUAUGGCCAUAGGUGAGAUUAGGCUAUAGCAUUCUUUCUGGCACUUUAUCAGGUUUGAGUACAAUAAUAGUUAAAACUCAUCUAUUUUGGGGGUUGAGUGAUGGCUAUAGGAGUGUGUUUACUUUGUAAUCAUUCACUGAGCUGCAUACUUGUGAUUUGUACAAUUUCCCAUAUAUUUUUCAAUUAAAAAGUUUAAUUAAAAACAAUUUUUUAUUUUUGGGACAUGGUCUCGCUCUGUCACCCAGGCUGGAGUGCAGCAGCACAGUCUUGGCUCACUGCAACCUCUGCCUCCUGGGCUUAAACCAUCUUCCCCACCUCAGCCUCCCAAGUAGCUGUUGACUACAGGCAAGCACCAUCAUGCCUGGCUAAUUUUGGUAUUUUUAGUAGAGGUGGGGUCUUGCCAUGUUGCCCAGGCUGGUCUCAGACUCCGGGGCUCAAGUGAUCUGCCUGCCUUGGCCUUCCAAAGUGCUAGGAUUACAGGUGUGGGCCACCACCAUGCCUGGCCAUCAAUCUUUUACAAGGAUAAAAUUUUAUUUAUUUUUCACCAUCUUAUGGUGCUCAAAAAGGAUAAAAUUUUAACCACCUUUCCAGUUUCUUCUUGGGUAACCAACUGGCCUAUUCAAACUAUUUCUAGGAUCAGUGUUUGCUGGGAAAUUAUCCAUUUCCUCUGAUUUCAAAUUUGUUGCCAUAGAGUUCUAUUCUUCUUCUCAAUUCCUCAAUAUAUAUGGUUAUGUCUAAUUUCUCAUGCCUAAUUUUGUUAAUUUUUUUGGCUCCUUUCCCCUUUUAUCAGGCUCAGGAGGUUUUAUCUAUUUUAUUGGUGCUUUCAAAGAAUUUUUUAAUUUAUUCUUUUUCUUUUUCCUACCUUGUUAAGUUUAGCUUUUAUCUUUAUUGGUCCAUUUUCUAUUUUUUAUGGUUUAAGUGUGUUUCUUUCCUAAAUUUCUUUCUUGUUUUUCUUCUUUCACUAUAUUGAGGAAUUUCCCUAAAUUUUAAAAUCACUACACACCUUUGAGUUUUUCUUUUUGAACAAUAAACAUGUUACACUUUCAUUUCCAAGUCUGGUCUCAUGUAUUCUAGGAUCCUCAAUAAGGAAUUUGGGGCCGGGUACAGUCGUUGACGCUUGUAAUCUCAGCACUCUGGGAGGCCAAGGUGGGUGGAUCACUUGAGACCAGGAGUUUGAGACUAGCCUGGCAAACAUGGUGAAACCCCGUCUUUACUAAAAAUACAAAAAAAAUUAGCUGGGUAUGGUGGCAUAUGCCUGUAGUCCCAGCUACUGAGGAGGCUGAGGCAUGAGACCUGCUUGAACUGGAGGUGGAGGUUGCAGUGAGCCAAGAUUGCACCACCGCACUCCAGCCUGGGCGACAGAGCAAGACUCUGUCUCAAAAAACAAAACAAAACAAAAGAAAUCUGGGUCUCACCUUGCUGCAUUGUCUCAGAGCUCAAAUCCUGGCCACAGCAACAUGGGACAAAUAAAAAUAUGCUGAGCAAACAAACAAUACUUUUCUGUUCCAGAGCCCACUGAGAAGAUCUGCACUUGCUGCAGGUCCCAUCCACUCACCCAAGUAUAAUAAUAAAGGAACAUCUGUCAUAUGCCUGCACUGUGCCAGGUUCUGUGAAUGGCUGAACAGCUUGGCAUCUGCCCUCUUAGAACUUACAUUCUAGUGAUGAAGACACAGAACAAGUAGGACAAGUGAGCUGAGCCUGGGAUGCUAUGGAAGUAAAAGAUAUGGGUCCAACACCACCUAGGAGUUCUGGCAGAGAAUCUCUGGAAGAAGUAAUUCUUUUUUUGUUUGUUUUUGUUGGAGACGGAGGCUGGCUCUGUCACCAGGCUGGAGUGCAGUGGCACAAUUUCGGCUCACUGCAACCUCCACCUCCCGGGUUCAAGCGAUUCUCCUGCCUCAGCCUCCCGAGUAGCUGAGACUACAGGCGCCCGCCACCACGCCUGGCUAAUUUUUGUAUUUUUAGUAGAGAUGGGGUUUCACCAUGUUGGUCAGGAUGGUCUCAAUCUCUUGAUCUCGUGAUCUGCCCCUACAUGGCCUCCAGAGUGUUGGGAUUACAGGCAUGAGCCACCACGCCCGGCCAGAAGUGAUUCUUAAUUAGGUUCCUUAGAAUCUAAGGUUCUACCCCUGUCUCCUUAUCCUAUUCUCAGGAAGGUGGCCAUUGGCUUUUCUUGUAUAAAAGUUAUCUGAUUUUAAGUUAUAUGCCUAGUAUUCCUGGCCACAGUUAACUGAACCAACGGACUGACAGCCGGGCAUAAGACCUCUAUCUAGUAGGAAUACUGCACACAGGCUGGUUACUAGCUGACUUAACUAGAGCCUCUAUGGGAAGUCUAAACAUCAAAUAGAAAGGAGCAGAAACAGAGAUAGCAGGAGAAAAAGCAGAAAAAGAAUAGUAAGGUUAUAAAAAUGGCAGUCGCAAACCCUAUGGUAUUGAAUUAAAACCGUAUCUAAACUCAUGAUUUUUAUUUAUUUUUAAAAAUAUGAAACGGAGUCUUGCUCUGUCACUCAGGCUGCAGUGCAGUGGUACAAUCACAGUUCACUACAGCCUCAACCUUCUGAACUCAAGCGAUCCUCCUGCCUCAGCCUCCUACGUAGCUAGGAUUACAGGAAUGCACCACCAUGCCUGGCUAAUUUUUUAUUUUUUAAACGUUUGGAGGAUGAGGUCUUGCUAUGAUGCGCAGGCUGGUCUUGAACUCCUGGGCUCAAGUGAUCCUCCCACUUUGGCCUCCCAAAGUCCUGGGAUACAGGCACGAGCCACCAUACCUGGCUCACGGUUUUUAAUAACAUACAGAUGGAUAGAAUAAUAAAUUCAGGUGCUUGUAUUUGCAUGUUUUAACAUAUAUACAUAUAUGUUUUCUAGCUCUGUCUGCUGAGCAGGCCUACAAGCAAUGACACUCCGCCAAUGAUACUCUAGCCAGGAGUAUAUAUUCUGUCCAGAUCUUGGUUUCCAGUGGCAUCAAGAAACAACUUGGUUUCUAAGUUCCUUUUUUCUGGAAUAAAAGGAACUGGGAGCUUCUUAGAGAAUGACUGAUGCCAGGGCUGAGAUAGGGAAAAUGUGAGGAAGCCUGAAACAUCUUGUGGUGCCAGAAAAUGCUUAAAAAGUGACAGGGGCAAUGUCGAAACAACACAGUGCCAACUUCAAUGAGUUCUCACUGGCCAAAUCUGAGCCAAUUUGAGCAACCAAAUAAACUGUUAGCAUUAGAUUGUAGCCUGUAGAAUAAAACAGAUAUCCACUCAUUCAUACUGAUAUAAAUUAUCAAAUAAAUAAAUGGGGAAAAGGGACAGCUCUUCCUUAUAGUAGAAUACCAAUUAAUAAAUACAGGUAAAAUAAUGAAACAAAGUCACCAUUAGGCAAGCAUAACAUUAAUACCUGUUAUAAGCAAGAAUCAUUGAUGAUGGAAAUGAAAAUCAGUAGGCAAAAUUUUAAGAAUAAGACAUUCACAUAGCUUCAAAGUGGAAGAUUCUUGUUAAUUUCAAAGGGAAAAUUCCUAAUUUUACAGUGGAGAAACCUGGCACACACCACCUUAGCCAUGUGAUCAAAGUUACCACCACCUAGUCUAGGUGUGGUGGCUCAUGCCUGUAAUCUCAGCACUUUGGGAGGCCGAGGUGGGUGGAUCACCUGAGGUCAGGAGUUCAAGACCAGCCUGGCCAACAUGGCGAAAACCUGUCUCUACUAAAAAUAUGGGAAUUUUCUACUAUUUCUGCAACUUUCUCUAAGUCUAAAAUUAUUUCAAAACAAAAAGUAAAAAACAAUGAAAAGCAGGCCGGGUCCAGUGGCUCAUGCCUGUAAUCCCAGCACUUUGGGAGGCCGAGGCAGGCAGAUCACAAGGUCAGGAGAUUGAGACCAUCCUGGCUAACAUGGUGAAACCCUGUCUCUACUAAAAAUACAAAAAGGUAGCCGGGCGUGGUGGUGGGCACCUGUAGUCCCAGCUACUCGGGAGGCUGAGGCAGGAGAAUGGCGUGAACCUGGGAGGCAGGGCUUGCAGUGAGCCGAGAUCGCGCCACUGCACUCCAGCUUGGGGGACAGAGUGAGACUCUGUCUCAAAAAAAAAAAAAAAAAAAAAAAGGCAGUCAGUGAGGUAGGGAGCAGCAGCCCCUGAGGGGUAGACAGUGAUCCAAGCAUCUGCUGGAGCUCACACCCUGGAUUCUGACUGCCUCAUACCCACCAUACUGUUAGGACAUGCUUCCAUUACCCAAGGGACUUUGAUUCCUGGCCCCAUUCUCUGCUUCCUGAAAGACUAGCUAACACUACGCGAGGGUUCCAUGAAGGGCCUGUGGGGGAAGGUGGGUGGACUGCUUAUCAGCAGUGGCUACUGUAGAUGGUGCCCAAGGAUGCACCAGGCCUUACUGUGCCUGGCUAAGGUGGGCUUGAAACAUUGGCUGGUCUGUGAAAUGCCCUUGGGGGACGGUGUCCAGACCCUCUGCUUUGUGACUAACAUGCAGACUGAAUAAACUGCAUGUUUAUUCCAGGCUCGUUUAGCUGGACGAGCAGUACAGACAGGGCUGAGGCUGACUCCAUGGCC
rnacentral:lncRNA from 10 species